UACGGGGGGAGCAAGCGUUGUUCGGAUUUACUGGGCGUAAAGGGCGCGUAGGCGGUCAGCACAAGUCAGUUGUGAAAUCUCCGGGCUUAACUCGGAAAGGUCAACUGAUACUGUGCGACUAGAGUGCAGAAGGGGCAACUGGAAUUCUCGGUGUAGCGGUGAAAUGCGUAGAUAUCGAGAGGAACACCUGCGGCGAAGGCGGGUUGCUGGGCUGACACUGACGCUGAUGCGCGAAAGCCAGGGGAGCGGACGGG
rnacentral:rRNA from 1 species